rnacentral:misc_RNA from 1 species
UGUGCUGUCAUCACAGUGAAGGUUCGUGAACCAAAAUACCUCGUUUUGUUGUGAUAUUCUAUUCAUCUUCAUUAAUCCUAGAGACUUCAUAAUCCGUGGUAUUUUUUCCAAAAGUACUUCAAAAUGAGUAUGAGACCUGACGACCACCGUAGGAAGUGGGACAAAGAUGAGUUCGAGAAGAUCGCUUCAGAAAGGUUGAAAGCAGAGCUAGAGGAAGAGGAGCGUUCUAAGAAGAAAGUACCUCCAGUAAAAAGAGAGCUCCUCAAGCAGCGAGAGUACAAAGUAGACUUGGACUCGAAACUCGGCAAGAGUGUUGUCAUCACAAAAAACACACCCACGUCCCAGUCUGGAGGCUACUACUGCAAUGUAUGUGACUGCGUUGUUAAGGACUCAAUUAACUUUCUGGACCAUAUCAAUGGCAAGAAGCAUCAGCGCAAUCUUGGCAUGUCUAUGAAGAUUGAAAGGAGCUCACUGGAUCAGGUGAAAGCAAGAUUCGCAAGCAACAAACGCAAGCUAGAGGAGAGGAUCCGAGAAUAUGAGCUGGACAGCCGGCUGCGCGAGGCUGCUGAAGAGGAGGCGCGUGUCAAGGAGCUGCGUCGCGAGCGCCGCCGUGACAAGAAGCGCAAGCUGCAGGAGGGUGACGAGCAAGAAGAAGAGACUCCAGCGCAGUCCGAGCUCGCUCAGAUCAUGGGCUUCUGUGGCUUCGGCGGCUCUAAGAAAUAGUGCCAGCAUGUGUUAACCACAUAUUAUACUAUAGUCAAAUAAAAUAAAAAAACUACCAUAGGGUUUACUGGUGAAACUGGUUUUUGAAAUUCGAACUAUGUGCAAAUUCCGCAAAUGUUCUUAU